GUGGGAAGGGAGGGGUGAAAGGUCGCCGGUCCCCGGCAACACGGCUCAGGCAAACGAGCAUCGAGGAGGCAUUGGGAUGAAAGGCAGAUGACAGUCUGCUGAAUGAAGAAGAGAAUGACGUUUAGUUUGGGAAUAAAAGUUCAUCCGGAGUAUGAAAAACACGUUUGCCUCAAGUCAGGGAGGAAGAUUCACUGAGAGCUGAAAGAAAGGGAAAGCAGGUGCUCCUGAGGAGCUUGAAGAUUCCACCCCCUCUACACCUGGCUCUGAUAUACCUGAUAAGGGCCUUGGAUAUGAGCUGAUACCAUAAAGGAAUGGGAAUUUGCAGAGGUCUGGGAAGGUGGUACAUAUCUUAUCUCUGGAAAGAGGUACUUUGGUUUACCCCUGCUUAAAAACAACAGGCAAGGGGCCAGCCCCUUGGCUAAGUUUCUACUCUCCGCUUUGGCAGCCCAGGGUUCACCAGUUCGGAUCCUGGGUGCAGACCUACACACCACUCAUCAAGCCAUGCUGUGGCAGCAUCCCACAUGGAAGAACUAGAAUGACUUACAACUAGGAUAUACGCCUAUGUACUGGGGCUC
rnacentral:lncRNA from 1 species